rnacentral:rRNA from 1 species
GAUGAACGCUGGCGGCGUGCCUAAUACAUGCAAGUCGAGCGAACGGACGAGAAGCUUGCUUCUCUGAUGUUAGCGGCGGACGGGUGAGUAACACGUGGAUAACCUACCUAUAAGACUGGGAUAACUUCGGGAAACCGGAGCUAAUACCGGAUGAUAUUUUGAACCGCAUGGUUCAAAAGUGAAAGACGGUCUUGCUGUCACUUAUCGAUGGAUCCGCGCUGCAUUAGCUAGUUGGUAAGGUAACGGCUUACCAAGGCAACGAUGCAUAGCCGACGUGAGAGGGUGAUCGGCCACACUGGAAGUGAGACACGGUCCAGACUCCUACGGGAGGCAGCAGUAGGGAAGCUUCCGCAAUGGGGGAAAGCCUGACGGAGCAGCGCGGCGUGAGUGAUGAAGGUCUUCGGAUCGUAAAGCUCUGUUAUUAGGGAAGAACAUAUGUGUAAGUAACUGUGCACAUCUUGACGGUACCUAAUCAGAAAGCCCCGGCUAACUACGUG